GUCUAUUACUAAUGCAUUAAUUUAGUGUAGUGUUUUGUUAAGAAAGGUAGAUUUUCUUCAUUCAACACUAUUUACUGAAUUCCUACUGUUUGCUGGUACUGUUCUAAGUGUUAAAGAGCUGUUACAGAAGUGAAUAAAACAAAGUCUUUGCUGUAAUGGAGUUUAAAUUCUAGUAGGGUGGACACUCAACCAACAGAUAAAAAUAAUCUUUGGGUGACAGUAAAUGCUAGGGAGAAAAAUAAAGCUGGAUAAGGGAGAUAGAAAGUGAUGGAGAUAUUCAAAGCUUUCAUUUUAGAGCUUGAAAGAUCGAUUGCAGGGUGGUGGUUGCCGAAACCAGCAGUUAGAGGGAAAGAAGGAAAGCAGCGUAUCAGCAGGGCUCAGUUGCAGGAAACAAAAACCACUGUAGCUAUUUUAAGCAGAAAGGCAUUGACUAGAGAGCAGCAGGUGUUUACAACUUUGUUGGGAGGCCUGGAAGAGCCAGCUUUCUGGGUGCUUCCACCUCUGCCACCAAUGUCAAGGUAGGAACUCAGGACACUGGAAAUCACCGGAAAUACUGACUGUGAGGACACUUUGCUUUACCUGAAAUCUGCUCAUCAGGAAGUUCCUGCCACCACCACCUUAACUGUCCCUCGACACCCAUGAAAUUAGUGGCUAACCAUUGGGGCACCACUUCAGAAUGUCCGUGUCUCCAUAAUCGUGUUUGCCGAGGAUCACAGCCAGAUCAGCAGGAAAGUGGCUCCUGCCUCCACUCUGACUUCCAUAUCUCCUGGAUUUGGACAUGGACACAUCUUUUGGAGGCCAUUAUUCAAUCCACUACAGGGCUUCCAGGCAAAAAGAUUACUUGUAAGGACACAGCGUAACUAAUAUCUCCCUUUGAAGCACAGCCUGUUGGAUGAUUACAAAUAAAAUGUGCUUUCAGAGACAAGCAUUGAGGGAUAGACAACUUCAAGUCUGCGGGUCUGGGUGGAGAGGUAUCUGAUGCUUCUGCUCCUUCAGGCCACUUGGUGUCCCGGCAGCUGGGCUAUGCGUUGUGUGCUAUGGCCUGUGAGACAUGCAAUGGCAUCACAGGGCCGUUCAGCAGGGUUAGUGGGAAAUAUGAGAAAUGAUAGGUUAGUUUCAUAUGAAAUAUGUGGGGAAAAUAAAAGCUGAGCAGUCACGUCC